GCCUGGCUGGCUCAGUGGAGAGAGCAUGUGACUCUUGAUCUCAGGGUUGUGAGUUCAAGCCCCAUGGUGGGCC
rnacentral:tRNA from 1 species